rnacentral:rRNA from 1 species
CAAUAGGAGUCUGCUUCUAACCGUCUCUUGACUGAGACUAGCGACCUGUGCGCUAACUUUUGACUUGACCUCAAAUCAGGUAGGACUACCCGGUUGAACUUAAGCAUAUCAAUUAAGCGGAGGAAAAGAAACUAACAAGGAUUCCCCUAGUAACUGCGAGUGAAGCGGGAAAAGCUCAAAUUUAAAAUCUGGCGGUCUCCGGCCGUCCGAGUUGUAAUUUAGAGAAGCGUUAUCCGUGCUGGACCGUGUAUAAGUCUCCUGGAAUGGAGCGUCAUAGAGGGUGAGAAUCCCGUCUUUGACACGGACUACCAGUGCAUUGUGAUGCGCUCUCGACGAGUCGAGUUGUUUGGGAAUGCAGCUCAAAAUGGGUGGUAAAUGCCAUCUAAAGCUAAAUAUUGGCGAGAGACCGAUAGCGAACAAGUACCGUGAGGGAAAGAUGAAAAGAACUUUGGAAAGAGAGUUAAACAGUACGUGAAAUUGUCGAAAGGGAAACGGUUGCAGUCAGUCGCGUCCGCCGGGGAUCAACCUUGCUUUUGCUUGGCGUAUUUCCCGGUGGAUGGGUCAGCAUCAGUUUUGACCGCAGUUGAAAGGCUGGAGGAAUGUGGCACCUUCGGGUGUGUUAUAGCCUCCUGUCAUAUGCUGCGGUUGGGACUGAGGAACUCAGCACGCCGAAAGGCCGGGAUUCGUCCACGUUCGUGCUUAGGAUGCUGGCAUAAUGUCUGUAACCGACCCGUCUUGAAACACGGACCAAGGAGUCUAACAUGCACGCGAGUGUUUGGGUGGCAAACCCGAGCGCGUAAUGAAAGUGAAAGUUGAGACCUCUGUCGUGGAGGGCAUC